CAUAUCUUAAUUAACCUAAACAAAAUAGCUCACUUUUAUUAAAUUUUAUUAAGAUUAUUGAAAGAAUCCAAGGAGCAGUGGAGAGAAAUGAAACACGGUCACAUGAAAUUGUAAAAUCCUUCCCCCCCCCAUCCCCUGAAGUAAGCUUUAUUGUUUUCAUUUGGUCUACUCCUUUUUAUUUUUAAAAUAUAUGUAACUGCUUUUCCUAUAGCGUGAUACAAAUAAAUUGCUUGAUGCUUACAUGGAUUUCUGCUAUCUGCCACCUGGAUGAGUAAAAUUCUAACAUAUUUCAGUUAUCUUUCUUCGUGCAACAGAUCUGCUUUUUUACUCUCAGUAUAUAUGGUGAUUUUCCAAGAACAAAAUCAAGUGUUGAAGAAAAUGAGGCUCAGAAUGGUUUAAGUUGCUUGCCUCAGAGUAAGUGGUGGAGCUGGAAUUCAAAUCUAGAAUUGCAUGACUAUACUGCCUCGUGUAGAAACAGUGAAUUAAGUGGUUCUCUCCUGGGGAUAAUUUUGCCCUCCAGAGGACGUUUGGCGAUAUCAGGAGAC